AUCCAGCUUUUGAGUCCCAAACAGGACGAAACGCGCGUCCUGGAU
rnacentral:hammerhead_ribozyme from 1 species